GAUGAACGCUGGCGGCGUGCCUAAUACAUGCAAGUCGAGCGAACAGACGAGGAGCUUGCUCCUCUGACGUUAGCGGCGGACGGGUGAGUAACACGUGGAUAACCUACCUAUAAGACUGGGAUAACUUCGGGAAACCGGAGCUAAUACCGGAUAAUAUAUUGAACCGCAUGGUUCAAUAGUGAAAGACGGUUUUGCUGUCACUUAUAGAUGGAUCCGCGCCGCAUUAGCUAGUUGGUAAGGUAACGGCUUACCAAGGCAACGAUGCGUAGCCGACCUGAGAGGGUGAUCGGCCACACUGGAACUGAGACACGGUCCAGACUCCUACGGGAGGCAGCAGUAGGGAAUCUUCUGCAAUGGGCGAAAGCUUGACGGAGCAACGCCGCGGGAGUGAUGAAGGUCUUCGGAUCGUAAAACUCUGUUAUUAGGGAAGAACAAAUGUGUAAGUAACUAUGCACGUCUGGACGGUACCUAAGCAGAAAGCCACGGCUAACUACGG
rnacentral:rRNA from 1 species